rnacentral:rRNA from 1 species
CCUACGGGAGGCUGCAGUGAGGAAUAUUGGUCAAUGGACGAAAGUCUGAACCAGCCAAGUAGCGUGAAGGAUGACUGCCCUAUGGGUUGUAAACUUCUUUUAUAAAGGGAUAAAAUGACGCACGUGUGCCUUUUUGUAUUUACUUUCUGAAUAGUGAUCGGCUAACUCCGUGCCCGCAGCCGAGGUAAUACGGAGGAUCCGGGGGUUUUCCGAAUUUAUGGGUUUAAAAGGGACAGUAGAUGGGUUGUGAAGCCAGUUGUGAAUGUUUGCGGCGCAACCGGAAAAGUGCAAUUGAUACUGGCAGUCUUGAGUACAGGUGAGGUAGGCGGAAUGCGUGGUGUAGCGGUGAAAUGCUUAGAUAUCACGAAGAACUCCGAUUGCGAAGGCAGCUUACUAAACUGCCACUGACAUUGAUGCUCGAAAGUGUGGGUAUCAAACAGGAGUAGAUACCCGAGUAGUC